GACGAACCGUGCAACCGUUAUUCGGAAUCACUGGGCUUAAAGGGCGCGUAGGCGGGUCCUCAAGUCAGGGGUGAAAUCCCACGGCUCAACCGUGGAAGUGCCUUUGAUACUGGGGGUCUCGAGGGAGGUAGGGGCGUGCGGAACUUCCGGUGGAGCGGUGAAAUGCGUAGAUAUCGGAAGGAACACCGGUGGCGAAAGCGGCGCGCUGGACCUCUUCUGACGCUGAGGCGCGAAAGCCAGGGGAGCAAACGGG
rnacentral:rRNA from 1 species